rnacentral:rRNA from 1 species
AUACGUAGGGUGCGAGCGUUAUCCGGAUUUAUUGGGUUUAAAGGGAGCGUAGGCGGGAGCUUAAGUCAGCGGUUAAAUGGUGCGGCUCAACCGUGCCCUGCCGUUGAAACUGGGUUUCUUGAGAGUGCAAGAGGCGGAUGGAAUUCAUGGUGUAGCGGGGAAAUGCUUAGAUAUCAUGAAGAACUCCGAUUGCGAAGGCAGUCCGCUGGGGCACGUCUGACGCUGAUGCUCGAAGGUGCGGGAAUCAAACAGGAUUAGAUACCCUGGUAGUCCGCACGGUAAACGAUGAUUACCCGCUGUCGGCGGCAGACAGUCGGCGGCCAAGCGAAAGCGAUAAGUAAUCCACCUGGGGAGUACGCCGGCAACGGUGAAACUCAAAGGAAUUGACGGGG